rnacentral:rRNA from 1 species
GUCGAGCGGUAGAGAGAAGCUUGCUUCUCUUGAGAGCGGCGGACGGGUGAGUAAUGCCUAGGAAUCUGCCUGGUAGUGGGGGAUAACGUUCGGAAACGGACGCUAAUACCGCAUACGUCCUACGGGAGAAAGCAGGGGACCUUCGGGCCUUGCGCUAUCAGAUGAGCCUAGGUCGGAUUAGCUAGUUGGUGGGGUAAUGGCUCACCAAGGCGACGAUCCGUAACUGGUCUGAGAGGAUGAUCAGUCACACUGGAACUGAGACACGGUCCAGACUCCUACGGGAGGCAGCAGUGGGGAAUAUUGGACAAUGGGCGAAAGCCUGAUCCAGCCAUGCCGCGUGUGUGAAGAAGGUCUUCGGAUUGUAAAGCACUUUAAGUUGGGAGGAAGGGUUGUAGAUUAAUACUCUGCAAUUUUGACGUUACCGACAGAAUAAGCACCGGCUAACUCUGUG